GACGAACGCUGGCGGCGUGCUUAACACAUGCAAGUCGAACGGAAAGGCCCUGCUUUUGUGGGGUGCUCGAGUGGCGAACGGGUGAGUAACACGUGAGUAACCUUCCCUUUACUUUGGGAUAACUUCAGGAAACUGGGGCUAAUACCGGAUAGGAGCUCCUGCUGCAUGGUGGGGGUUGGAAAGUUUCGGCGGUUGGGGAUGGACUCGCGGCUUAUCAGCUUGUUGGUGGGGUAGUGGCUUACCAAGGCUUUGACGGGUAGCCGGCCUGAGAGGGUGACCGGCCACAUUGGGACUGAGAUACGGCCCAGACUCCUACGGGAGGCAGCAGGGGGGAAUAUUGCACAAUGGGCGGAAGCCUGAUGAAGAAACGCCGCGUGCGGGAUGACGGCCUUCGGGUUGUAAACCGCUGUCGCCUGUGACGAAGCGUGAGUGACGGUAAUGGGUAAAGAAGCACCGGCUAACUACGUG
rnacentral:rRNA from 1 species